rnacentral:tRNA from 1 species
UACUGUAUAGGUCAGUUGGUUAGGGUACUGCACUGGAAUGUCAGAGCCACAGGUUUGAUUCCUGUUAGAUAA